rnacentral:rRNA from 1 species
UGAUCCUAUGCUGCCGAGAAAAGCCUCUAGUGAGUUCAUACACGGCCCGUACCCCAAACUGACACAGGUGAUCAGGUAGAGAAUACCAAGGCGAUCGAGAGAACUGUGGUUAAGGAACUCGGCAAAAUGCCCCCGUAACUUCGGGAGAAGGGGGACCAUGCCCGGUGAACAUCUUCACGGUGGGAGCUGGGUGUGGUCGCAGAGACCAGAGAGAAGCGACUGUUUACUAAAAACACAGGUCCGUGCGAAGACGUAAGUCGAUGUAUACGGACUGACGCCUGCCCGGUGCUGGAAGGUUAAGAGGACCGGUUAGCCGUAAGGCGAAGCUGAGAAUUUAAGCCCCAGUAAACGGCGGUGGUAACUAUAACCAUCCUAAGGUAGCGAAAUUCCUUGUCGGGUAAGUUCCGACCUGCACGAAUGGCGUAACGACUUCUCUGCCGUCUCGACCACAGACUCGGCGAAAUUGCACUACGAGUAAAGAUGCUCGUUACGCGCGGCAGGACGAAAAGACCCCGGGACCUUUACUAUAGCUUGGUAUUGGCGUUCGAUUCGGUUUGUGUAGGAUAGGUGGGAGACUGUGAAACAUGCACGCCAGUGUGUGUGGAGUCGUUGUUGAAAUACCACUCUGAUCGUAUUGGACGUCUAACCUCGGCCCAUGAUCUGGGUUAGGGACAGUGCCUGGUGGGUAGUUUAACUGGGGCGGUUGCCUCCUAAAGAGUAACGGAGGCGCCCAAAGGUUCCCUCAGCCUGGAUGGCAAUCAGGUGUUGAGUGCAAGUGCACAAGGGAGCUUGACUGUGAGACUGACACGUCGAGCAGGGACGAAAGUCGGGACUAGUGAUCCGGCACCGGCAAGUGGAAGCGGUGUCGCUCAACGGAUAAAAGGUACCCCGGGGAUAACAGGCUGAUCUUCCCCAAGAGUCCAUAUCGACGGGAUGGUUUGGCACCUCGAUGUCGGCUCGUCGCAUCCUGGGGCUGGAGUAGGUCCCAAGGGUUGGGCUGUUCGCCCAUUAAAGCGGCACGCGAGCUGGGUUUAGAACGUCGUGAGACAGUUCGGUCUCUAUCCGCCGCGCGCGUAAGAAACUUGAGGGAGGCUGUCCCUAGUACGAGAGGACCGGGACGGACGAACCUCUGGUGUGCCAGUUGUUCCACCAGGAGCAUGGCUGGUUAGCUACGUUCGGAAGGGAUAACCGCUGAAAGCAUCUAAGCGGGAAGCCUGUUCCAAGAUGAGGUUUCUCACCACCUUGCGUGGUUAAGGCCCCCUACAGACCAUGGGGUUGAUAGGCCGGAACUGGAAGCGCAGCAAUGCGUGGAGGUGACCGGUACUAAUAGGCCGAGGGCC